rnacentral:rRNA from 1 species
AAAAGAACUUUGAAGAGAGAGUUCAACAGUACGUGAAACCGCCUAGAGGUAAACGGGUGGAUCCGCAAAGUCGGCCCRCGGAAUUCAGCUCGGAUGGCCGGCGCGUUGGCUGGGYAAGGGAUCUUKACGGACCCUCCCGGCUGACGACGCUGGCCGGCCGUGUGCACUUUCCGCGGGCAGAGCGCCACGACCGGUUCUCGGGCGGUCAAAAGGCGGCGAGGAAGGUAGGUGGGCGCUUCGGCGCUUACUGUUAUAGCCUCGCCUGUCCCGAUCCGCUCUGGGGACCGAGGAGCCGCCGYCGGUGUAGGCCGCCUCGCUCUCCUGGGGAGUUCGACUGGCAGAGACUGGGCAACCGUGUCUGCCGACCGCUCUCCGGGAUGGAYGGGGUGGGCCCGCCGGCACAGGGUCAGUGGCGAAUCGGUCGGCCCUCCACCCGACCCGUCUUGAAACACGGACCAAGGAGUCUAACAUGCGCGCGAGUCGUUGGGUAGUACGAAACCCGAAGGCGAAGUGAAAGCGAGGGCCGUCUCGUACGYGCCUAGGUGGGAUCCCGGGGCCKUGGUUCUGGGCGCACCACCGGCCCGUCUCGUCCGCGCUGUCGGUGAGGCGGAGCAGGAGCGUGCAUGUUGG